CUAACUCUGGUGAAUGCCUUGGAAUUCCACACAUUGUAUGAAUCGGAACGAUUGUGUUGGCAAAGGAGAGGUUUUCAAUAAAUUGUGUGAAUUGCUAAAUGGGCUACAAAAAUCUAAUACAAAUAUGCGAGAGGCAAUACCAUUGGAAAAAAGAGUUGCAAUAGGUUUAUAUACCUUGGGAUCUUCUGCCGAGUACCGCACAAUAGCAAACAUGUUUGGAGUUGGAAAAAGUACAGUGUGUAAAAUACUCUUGCAGUUUUGUAAUGAGGUCUGGAGAAUUCUUGCUCCAAUUUAUUUAAAAAAUUUCCACUUAACAAGAGAAAAGAUAGAAGUACUCUGUCAAGAAUUUGAAAUACUAGGGUUUCCGCAAUGUAUAGGUGCUCUGGACGGUUGCCACAUUGAGGUUCAUCCAUCCAAGGAAGACGCUACAGAUUACUACAACUACAAGAGAUGGUACUCAGUCGUACUCCUUGCAUUGGUAGAUGCGAG